rnacentral:misc_RNA from 2 species
UGACGGCUCUAAUCUAUUAGU